rnacentral:misc_RNA from 1 species
UCCACAACUCUUUUAUCUAUCAAUUUCAAUAAUUUAUCGUAUUCUAAGAAAUAUCUUUCGCUAGCAAACUAUUCCAAAAAGACUAGUCAUUAACAUAUAAAGAUUUAUUUUUAUAUGAGGGAUAGCAGGAAGGCAAACAAUGCUGGCAUUAACAUAAAAGUAUGCAGACCCCGGGUCAAACAAUACAUAUACAUAUCUUAGUUAAAAAUUGAGAAAGUACCAGCAACAAUGUCAGAAGUCUCAGCCUCUUCCCUCUGCCGUAUAGUGUAUAUUCUAGCCGAAGCAUCACCUUGUUCUGGCUAAUUCACAGUACUCUGACUUCCAGG